GUGGAUUAGAUACCCUAGUAGUCCACGCCGUAAACUAUGAGUGCUAGGUGUCAGGGGCUUUGACCCUCCUGGUGCCGAAGCUAACGCGUUAAGCACUCCGCCUGGGGAGUACGGCCGCAAGGCUAAAACUCAAAGGAAUUGACGGGGGCCCGCACAAGCGGUGGAGCAUGUGGUUCAAUUCGACGCAACGCGCAAAACCUUACCUGGGCUAGAAAUGACAGGAACCUGGUCGAAAGAUCGGGGUGCCCUUCGGGGAAUCUGUUGUUAGGUGCUGCACGGCCGUCGUCAGCU
rnacentral:rRNA from 1 species